rnacentral:rRNA from 1 species
UUGAACGCUGGCGGCAGGCCUAACACAUGCAAGUCGAGCGGAUGAAGGGAGCUUGCUCCUGGAUUCAGCGGCGGACGGGUGAGUAAUGCCUAGGAAUCUGCCUGGUAAUGGGGGAUAACGUCCGGAAACGGGCGCUAAUACCGCAUACGUCCUGAGGGAGAAAGUGGGGGAUCUUCGGACCUCACGCUAUCAGAUGAGCCUAGGUCGGAUUAGCUAGUUGGUGGGGUAAAGGCCUACCAAGGCGACGAUCCGUAACUGGUCUGAGAGGAUGAUCAGUCACACUGGAACUGAGACACGGUCCAGACUCCUACGGGAGGCAGCAGUGGGGAAUAUUGGACAAUGGGCGAAAGCCUGAUCCAGCCAUGCCGCGUGUGUGAAGAAGGUCUUCGGAUUGUAAAGCACUUUAAGUUGGGAGGAAGGGCAGUAAGUUAAUACCUUGCUGUUUUGACGUUACCAACAGAAUAAGCACCGGCUAACUUCGUG